CAUCACACCAAAUCAACAACAAUUAUAUUAAUGAUUAAUAUAUGUUUUGGUUAACAUUAAAAUUCAAAUGUAUAAAACAAAAACUCACACACCCUCUCUCUUANAAACACCCUCUUUCUUAAUAUUCAAACCAAAAGAUGAGGCUGGCAGCCUACACAAAGUAGAAAACCACUAACACUUGCCCACGUUCUGCCAGUUGAUCCACCUAAUUGGAAAAGAAGGGAAGACUUGGCAAGAUCUAAGCAUGAAAAUAUGCCAAAUAAUAUAAUGCUAUGCUGAAUCGAAGUGCAAACACCUUAUUUUUUACUCUCUUUCAAGUGAUUUUAGAUACAGAUUAUAACUAACAUGAUUAGAACAUACCAUAACAUUAAAAAAAAAAAAACCUUCACAGUGGAU
rnacentral:misc_RNA from 1 species